GAUGAACGCUGGCGGCGUGCCUAAUACAUGCAAGUCGAGCGAAUGAUGAGGAGCUUGCUCCUCUGAUUUAGCGGCGGACGGGUGAGUAACACGUGGGUAAUCUGCCUGUAAGACGGGGAUAACUCCGGGAAACCGGGGCUAAUACCGGAUAACAAGAGAAGAAGAAUGUCUUCUUUUUGAAAGUCGGUUUUGGCUGACACUUACAGAUGAGCCCGCGGCGCAUUAGCUAGUUGGUGAGGUAACGGCUCACCAAGGCGACGAUGCGUAGCCGACCUGAGAGGGUGAUCGGCCACACUGGGACUGAGACACGGCCCAGACUCCUACGGGAGGCAGCAGUAGGGAAUCUUCGGCAAUGGGCGAAAGCCUGACCGAGCAACGCCGCGUGAGCGAUGAAGGCCUUCGGGUCGUAAAGCUCUGUUGUUAGAGAAGAACAAGUACGAGAGUAACUGCUCGUACCUUGACGGUACCUAACCAGAAAGCAACGGCUAACUACGUGCCAGCCGCCGCAGUAA
rnacentral:rRNA from 1 species